GAACAGGAUUAGAUACCCUGGUAGUCCACGCCGUAAACGGUGGGCGCUAGUUGUGCGAACCUUCCACGGUUUGUGCGACGCAGCUAACGCAUUAAGCGCCCCGCCUGGGGAGUACGAUCGCAAGAUUAAAACUCAAAGGAAUUGACGGGGCCCCGCACAAGCAGCGGAGCAUGCGGCUUAAUUCGACGCAACGCGAAGAACCUUACCAAGGCUUGACAUAUACAGGAAUAUGGCAGAGAUGUCAUAGCCGCAAGGUCUGUAUACAGGUGGUGCAUGGUUGUCGUCAGCUCGUGUCGUGAGAUGUUGGGUUAAGUCCCGCAACGAGCGCAACCCUCGUUCUGUGUUGCCAGCAUUUAGUUGGGGACUCACAGGAGACUGCCGGGGUUAACUCGGAGGAAGGUGGGGAUGACGUCAAAUCAUCAUGCCCCUUAUGUCUUGGGCUGCACGCAUGCUACAAUGGCUGGUACAAACGGCUGCGAUACCGCAAGGUGGAGCGAAUCCGAUAAAGCCAGUCUCAGUUCGGAUUGGGGUCUGCAACUCGACCCCAUGAAGUCGGAGUUGCUAGUAAUCGUAGAUCAGCAACGCUACGGUGAAUACGUUCCCGGGGCUUGUACACACCGCCCGUCACAUCACGAAAGUCGGUAACACCCAAAGUCAGUGGCCCAACCGCAAGGAGGGAGCUGCCAAAG
rnacentral:rRNA from 1 species